rnacentral:lncRNA from 1 species
CCCAAGGUUUGCGGGCCGGAGCGCGGGCGUCCUGCUAUCUCUAGGCUGGGGCGAUCCCACUCACCGGCCAGCCCCGGCGGCUCUCACCUAACCUCCGCAGCCCAGCGGGACCAUUCCCCCUGCCAUCCCGUGGCACGCGUUGUUGUGCUGCCAGCAUCGGCCCCACGGCUUCCAGAAAGUGGAAACUGCGAGAUGGGAGAAGCUUGAGUACUGUGCGGCCCAGAUUCCACGGGCACGGGGCCUCGGCGCGGCCGUGGGAACUCAGAGAUGCGGACUUCAUUUGAACAGUUGUUUCUCUGAGUCCUUCAAGAUUGCUGGUUUGGAGUCACUGGCGGCAUCUCUCUUUCUCCUGGAGGGAUCGGCAGAGAUGCUGCUGUGAAGCCUCAGCAGGCUCUCCAUGGUCCUGGAGCUGGGCAAUGAGCAGGUAGAACAGACUGCUGUCAGGCUGGGGCAGCCCUUCCUCUGGAAGGUUGUAGGCAGUCGCCGAGCACUCUUACAAUGCUGUCCUCCCCAAAACCAGGAUGGAUGCUUUUCAGAAACUCAGGGUCCGGAAAACAGGCAUCUUCUGGCCGGUCAUCGUUUCCCUGAGACAGGAUCAGAUGUGGACAGAAGUGAGGACUUCGACGCAGACCUUGCUUGGUGGAAAGCCCAUCUUUUCCUCAUAGCUGGGAAGCCACGGGCAAAUUACUUAAACUCUGUCGAUCUCCUCCCCAAACUCCUCCCUGUCUCCUGUCUUCUCAAUAAAAGGGGAAUUAAAAUACAGCCUCGAAGGAUUUGCAUGUGGAUUCAGUGAGUUAAUGGAUGAAAAAUGCUCAGCAUACUCUUUACUGGGAGCACAUGGUAAGUACUCAAUAACAUCAACUAUUAUAUAUUUUACAUAUAACAUAGUCUGAAUCCAGACACAUGCAUAUCUGUGUUUGGUUUUAUUUUUGUUUGUUUUAAUUGCUCUGGGGAGAUUCCCAGUACCCAGAUGGUGCUUAAGAAUCUUUGGCUAGAAAAUUGUUUCUCUGACCGGUUGAAUCUGCCGUCCUUCACCCCCUUGCCUGACUUCCUGCCAUCUCUGACUAAAAGUGCUUGCUCUCUCUGUGGCUUAAUUUAUAGGCAUGUUGGGGAAAGAUACAUUGAAGAAGAAAAAUACUUUAAGAUAAUGUGUUCUUAUCUUUUACUAGAAUUAGUAAGUGCAGAAGGAGCUAAGGUUUCUUGUCUAGUUUAUUUGCUCUAUCACUAGAUAUUACCUCUCCUGAGUUUGUUGUCCUCUUUUCUCCCAGUGCCUAGAUAUCUUAAUUCUCUAAGUGUAGGGCUGGCCAUAGAAUUGGGUUUGGUUGAUUCUUGCCAACUAGCUUCAGAUCCAAGGACUCCAGCUCUUGCACUUUUUUCUGGCACCAACUAGCUCUGUGACUUUGGGUAAGCCACUUACCUCUUGAGCCUCCAUUUCUUCCUCUGUGACAGGGGCUGGUAAUAUCUGUGGUAAAGACUUCAUUGAUGAUGUGGAAUCAACCAAGACAACACUUACAAAAAUCUUAUUUAAAGCCAGGUAUGGCAGUAUAUGCCUGUAGUCCCAGCAUUCGGAGAAACUGAGGCAGGGGGAAUGCAAAUUUAAGCCCAGCCUGGGCAAAUUAGCAAGAUCUUGUCUCCAAAAAAAAAAAAAAUGAUGAUGAAAAAAUUAUAAAGGAGCUCAAUGUAAAUACCCUGGGUUCAUCCCCAGCAUUGAAAAAAAAAUUUCUUUGAAAGUAUUGAUCGCUAUUUGGUGCUAAGGAAAUAGUCUUAUUAAAAUGAGCGAGGCUCUUGCUAGCUUCCACAGUAGGAGCCAUCACUGCUAUGGCAUGAGAAGAACAGGCUGAGUCCUUAACUCUCUGGACAGUCUACAGUUGUGGGCUGAUACUGAUCUCUAGGAAGCUGGAAAAAGCAGAGGCUUUGAAUCUAGUGCACUGGGCUCGGCCCCCUGUUGCACAGCAGCUGCCUGUCUUUCUGUCUGCCUGGACCUUUUAAAAAGAACUGUCCCAGAGGGCUCAGCAUACAUAAUUUUGAAAAUGAACGGUGGUUUGGCUGAAGGGCAAAUGCUCUUGCAAUGAGAAGUCAGCUGUAAGCAGAGAGCCCUGCAGGGACAGAAAAUGGAUUGGGCCAAGAUUCAGUUCUGUUUUCCAAAUUCCAGUGGUCCACUGGGUGGGGCAAGUUUGCUGUGACAGGUAGAAUUUUUGUUGACUAAACAGCAGCACUGUAAGAACUGGGGUGGUGUGUUGGUCCGCAUGGGGCCGCUGGGCUACUCUCUCAGUGUAUGGCUGCAGCAUUUCAGACAGGCGUGCCCCCUGGCCUGGCAGAGUGCAGCUGUGUCAAUGGGCCUUUGAAGUUCACAUACACCAGCUGACUGGUCAGCAGUCCCUGACAUCAUCAUCGUGACCUUUGUGACAGAAGUCCAGAAAGGCAUGCAGCAGCCAGCCUUGCUGCAAGGGCUGGGAGGGGAAACGAUGGGCCUUUGAUGAAAACCUGGGAGAAACUGACCCAGACUCACAGUAUGAAUCCAACUGCGCUGGUUGCUUGCCACUCUCUCGCCUGAUUGCUCCAGAUCAAUAUGGUGACCGGAUUUCUUUUAUUCUGACCCGAUAACCGCUUCAGUGAGACUUCAGCAUAGCGUCAGUCUGCUGGCGGUGCUGGCAGAGCCUUGAAAUCUAGGACUUGGGCCUGAGUCAUCACAACAUAGACAGACCACAUCCACCAGAACUUCAGUGCAAUAUUUAAAAAAAAUAUUAGUAGUCUAUAUUUUAGGUCCCUGCUUGUCUUUUUCCAAGAUUUCCCGCGAGCUCCCUGUGUGGCAGACACUGUGCAGGUGCUUGACUUCAGGGCUGGGCUGUCUCUCUGAUCUUCACAACAUCCCUGAGAGAUGGGAUGUUCUUAUCCCCGUUUUGCAGAGCUGGAAGUGGAAGUGUUGGUGAGGGAAGCUUGCUGAGGGCAUCGCAGCCAGCAGAGGAUACCUAGCCGUCUAUGCGCCAGCCUGUGCUCAGAACUCCUCUGCUGAGCCGCCUUCCCUCUGCGGAGACCCUUGUUGGAUCCCGUGCUGGAUAACUAGGGAUUGGGAUCUCUGAUUGACCAGCGCACCUUCUUUUCUUCCUGUGGCCCACGUCUAUACAGUCGUCUGCUCAUCUUUAUUCCUGGUCUGGCUAUCGACAUGGCCGCUGGGUCUUGUCAGUGGGUCCUAAUGUCUCCUUACGCCUGCCUGUUCACCCUCACCCUCAUUACCACACGUUUGGGCCAGUGCAGUGGUCUUUCAGCUCCUUUUGUCCUGGUGUUCCCUUUUCAUCUUGUCUACUCAACUCUGUCAGAUCCAUCUCUUGUUAAUGCUACUUUUGUCCUAGAGCAUGUGCUUUAAAACUUCCCGGGGACUCUGUGGCUCACAGGACAAAGUCAGAACUCAGGGCUCGACAUUAAGACACCUCCCCCUCAGACUGUCCUCCAAGUCCCUGUCCAGGCUGGCUCAUCACUUCCUGCAAGAAGUGAAGGUUGCCUCGGACCUUCUGGCUUCAGCAUCUUUGUUCAUGCAGCAUCUUCUGCUUCCCCACCCCUUUAAAUCUCAUUCCCCUGACACAGACCUCAUCAUGGCCCAGCUUCAGGGGCAUUUUCUCCAGCUGCCUUUCAAGAAUGAUCUGUCCUCAAGCAUUUUGUAAUCUCUGACCAGUACAUCUCACAGGUUGCUUCACUGUAAUUAUUUGUGAGCCAACAUGUUCUCCCAUAUCCCAGAGGGAAAGGACGCUUGUGUGUGUGUGUGUGUGUGUGUGUGUGUGUGUGUGUGUAUCCCCUGCUGUGGUCACCAGUGCAGUGCACUGAACUCAGUAGACCUUUACUUUUCCAAAUGUUUGAAGUAAUGAGCAGAAAAAAACAAAUAGCAAGAAACAAGGCACUUGGAGAGUGUUGACUAUGUGCCAGGUGGUGUUCUGUGUGCUGUCAUAAUCAUUCCUGUGAGCCUUGCAGCAAGCCUGAGAAGUAGGUGACAGAGAUGAGACCAGGGCACAGCUCGUUGCAUCAGCUUGUCAAAGAAUUAAUGAUGGAUCCAUGAACCCCAGCCAAGCAGUCUGCCUCUAGAAUCUAGGCUUACACCAAAACUGUCUUUCGAGUACUUUUAUCUUUGCCUAGGCGAUCCUGGCCAGUCAUAGGGACAUCCUCUUAUAAGAGCUACUUCGUGGAUUUCUAAAUUUAGCAAUGAACAUUGGGUAAUUUGGGAUACUGGGACAAAUG